CAGGCAUAGUAAUGGGAUUCAAUCAAUGAGAAUGCUUGGGUGAGACAAAGGAAUCUUUAAAAGUUGAGCAAGAAUGAUUUUCUAUUUCUUCUGGAUCAGUGACCUCCAGCAGGACUUAAAGUAGUGUUAGGACAUGCUUCACAGUGUUGCAAAAGAGCAGGCUGUCUUGUCAGCAGGCACAGAGUAAACAAGGAAUCAGUGGACUACAAAAUCAAUAAUGCAAUUUAGAUUUUAUAACCAUUGUUCAUAACCACACACUGCUAUCCCUAAAACUAUGUCAGGAAUCAGGUAUUCAUUGACUAGAAGACCAGAAUCUGUAAUUGUAUCUAAUAUGUUUUUAUGACCACAAGGAACCUGAUUCUAUUAUCUUUUAACUUUAAGGUUAAUCUUUCACUGCAUUUGCAGAUAAUGUUAUUUCAUGCUAGUAUUCACUUUUACUGCAGGAUAUAGCAGCAAGGCCUCUUUAAAAUACUGUCUUCUAUGUCAUGAUCCAGAAUGAAUAAUUACUUUCAAUAUAUGCAUUGAUUAUUCUUAUGAGCCAAUAAAGAAAGAUGCUUCAUGCCCUUGAACAUCAGACUCCAAGUUCUUCAGUUUUGGAACUCAGACUGGUUCUUGCUCCUCAGCGUGUAGACAACCUAUUGUGGGACCUUGUGAUCAUGCCUCAUAGGAUGUGCUUCCCUGUGAAGCGGAUGUUCUGA
rnacentral:lncRNA from 1 species